rnacentral:rRNA from 1 species
GAUGAACGCUGGCGGCGUGCCUAAUACAUGCAAGUAGAACGCUGAAGGAAGGAGCUUGCUCUUUCCGGAUGAGUUGCGAACGGGUGAGUAACGCGUAGGUAACCUGCCUGGUAGCGGGGGAUAACUAUUGGAAACGAUAGCUAAUACCGCAUAACAGUAGAUGUUGCAUGAUAUCUACUUAAAAGGUGCAAUUGCACCACUACCAGAUGGACCUGCGUUGUAUUAGCUAGUUGGUGAGGUAACGGCUCACCAAGGCGACGAUACAUAGCCGACCUGAGAGGGUGAUCGGCCACACUGGGACUGAGACACGGCCCAGACUCCUACAGGAGGCAGCAGUAGGGAAUCUUCGGCAAUGGACGGAAGUCUGACCGAGCAACGCCGCGUGAGUGAAGAAGGUUUUCGGAUCGUAAAGCUCUGUUGUAAGAGAAGAACGAGUGUGAGAGUGGAAAGUUCACACUGUGACGGUAUCUUACCAGAAAGGGACGGCUAACUACGUG